UACAGAGGAGCCAAGCGUUGUCCGGAUUGACUGGGCGUAAAGCGCACGCAGGCGGAUACGCGCGUGGGGUGUGAAAUCUGGCCGCUUAACGGCCAGGCGCCAUCCCAUACGGCGUGUCUGGAGCUGUGCAGAGGUCGGUGGAAUUGCCGGUGUAGUGGUGAAAUGCGUAGAGAUCGGCAGGAACACCCAGGGGGGAAACCAGCCGACUGGGCACAUGCUGACGCUGAGGUGCGAGAGCGUGGGGAGCAAACAGG
rnacentral:rRNA from 1 species